rnacentral:tRNA from 1 species
AUAUUUUUAGUAUAUAUUAGUACUUAAAGCUUCCAACUUUAAAGAUCUUUUGAAAAAUAUA